UACGUAGGGGGCGAGCGUUACCCGGAUUUACUGGGCGUAAAGCGCGUGUAGGCGGCUGGUCAAGCGUGGUGUGAAAUCUCCGGGCUCAACCCGGAAACUGCAUUGCGAACUGACCUAGCUGGAGUGCAGGAGAGGGCAGCGGAAUUCCCGGUGUAGAGGUGAAAUUCGUAGAUAUCGGGAGGAACACCAGUGGCGAAGGCGGCGAUCUGGGCUGAUACUGACGCUGAGGUGCGAAAGCGUGGGGAGCAAACAGG
rnacentral:rRNA from 1 species